CCAAUAGCGUAUAUUAAAGUUGUUGCAGUUAAAAAGCUCGUAGUUGAACUUCGGGGUUUACCCAUUGGUCAGGCUUAAUUGUCUGUACUGGUGAGAUAAAUCUCUACCUUCUGAGGAACUUUCAUGCCAUUUAUUUGGUGUGAUUGGAAAUCAGGACUGUUACUUUGAAGAAAUUAGAGUGUUUAAAGCAGGCUAACGUCUGAAUACAUUAGCAUGGAAUAAUGAAAUAGGACGGACUGAUUCUAUUUCGUUGGUUUCUAGGAUCACCGUAAUGAUUAAUAUGGAUAGUUGGGGGCAUUAGUAUUCAAUUGUCAGAGGUGAAAUUCUUGGAUUUAUUGAAGACUAACUACUGCGAAAGCAUUUGCCAAGGAUGUUUUCAUUAAUCAAGAACGAAAGUUAGGGGAUCGAAGACGAUCAGAUACCGUCGUAGUCUUAACCAUAAACUAUGCCGACUAGGGAUCGGACGAAGUUAAUUUUAUAAUGACGCGUUCGGCACCUUACG
rnacentral:rRNA from 1 species